rnacentral:rRNA from 1 species
GACAGAGGUUGCAAACGUUGUUCGGAAUCACUGGGCAUAAAGCGCACGUAGGCGGCCCGUUAAGUCAGUUGUGAAAGCCCCCGGCUCAACCGGGGAACAGCAUCUGAUACUGACGGGCUCGAGGAUGGUAGGGGUGAGUGGAACUCCAGGUGGAGCGGUGAAAUGCGUAGAUAUCUGGAGGAACACCGGUGGCGAAAGCGGCUCACUGGACCAUCCCUGACGCUGAGGUGCGAAAGCUAGGGUAGCAAACGGG